CCCACCUUCCUGAACAGGUCCUUGUCUGUAGUAGCUGAACCCUUCCUACAACCUAACCUCUGAUCUAAAAUGAGGGAAGGAUUGCUUCUUACCAAGCAAACCAUACUACUCCCCUGAAUUUAUAUUUACUUUUAAUUACUUUUACAUUUCCUUCUUGUUUUCAUUCUGUAGCCAUAACAUCUCCAUGAACAGCACAUGCACUGCCAGUAUGAUACACCAAGUUCAUCACUGUCUGCUCCUAAUGGCAUGGCCAGAUCAGCAGGUUAUCUUCUACUUGCCUGUUCCUGUGAAAGUCAGCCCUUUUGGGGAUGGUUUACUUCAGCAGCUUUCCAGACCACAUCUGCAGGUUAACACACCACUCCCAUUGAGUGUCACCUUCUUGGAGUCUCUGUCUCCCAUGUGCAAAGAUACUUUUUACUAAGGAAACUCAAGUGGAUCAUGUGUGACACAAAGGCUGAGGAACUAGAAUGGAAUUUGGAAGUCUGGAAUCUGCUACAGGACGUGAUGGUUUCAUCUGCUGUGUGAGCAGAAGCCACCUCUCUUCUCUGUCAUCCCCUUGUCCCUGGUGCAAAGCUCUCUGAGUGAGAGUUAUUCUUGCUACAGCAUCCAGCCUCACUAUACAUGGAAACAUCACUGUAAUAAGGGGUAGAAGGAUAAGAGGUAGAAGCAUAAGGGAAAACAGGUCUAGCCAGGUCUAGUCUGUGAGAUAUUUCAAGGCUGGAUGAGGAAAAUCUUCAAACUUAUAUUUUGUGUUAGCAUCUUCCCUGACUGCUAUCUUCAUCUGUUUUAUCUUACUACAUACUCAGCUCUCCUGUGCUUUCUGUAGAAAAGCCUCAUGGCCUCACACAGGGAAGAGGGGUUCUGAACAGCCACCAGAUUGCACAUAGAUUGUUAGCAGAGAUCUUAAUGUCCUCAUAGGUCCCUCUUAGCCACUGCCUAUAGGCAAACAGCCUGACUGCAUCCUGUUGCUACAUGAAGGUACUGUGUUGUGGAAAGAAAAUGAUGUCUCAGCUAUGUUUGAAGGAGCCAUAGACAUAUGGUUUCACAGCAUGGACUGCUGUCAUCCUGACAGAAGGCUUUCCUUCUUCUCUCAUCUUCUUUGUCCACUACAGCCCUCUGACCAGCAACUGGCUGUCAGGUAGUGCCCAUCCCUACAGCUGGUGGCACAGGUGGGACUUGCUGAUACCUAGCUAUGUGUUUACAGAAGAGGCACAUGUUUGGAGCCAGGAGUUGGACAUAAUGACCCUUAUAGGUUCCUUCCAAUUCAGGAUAUUUGAUGAUUCUAUGUCAGAGAGAGUACUCGCCUGGGCAAAGGUCAUGCCACUUCACUCCAGAAGGUCCCCUGCCAUGGCUCUCCAGAGCACUGUCAUUGCCAUAAAGCCAACCCAUCUCUGGUGCUGCCUGGAGUUUAAUCAUGUUGG
rnacentral:lncRNA from 1 species